CACUUCCAAGUUGACAAACAUCCUCCAUCGGCAAAGGGGCAAGGCUGAGAUGGUGAACCAGAAUCCUGUACCAUUUCGAGCAGCGUCUGCUGUAGCUCCUCCAAGUCCAGGCUAUAUUGCUUCUCCUGACAUGAUUAAGGUAGGGCGAUUCCCUUCGGGGAUUAGCGGGCCGUCAAACGUGGCGACUAGACAGUUCCUCUAUCCGCUGUUGGGGGAGUGCUCCUUCGGAGCAGCCUCCCUCUAGUACUAAAUCGGAUUCCAGUGGAGAGCGAAGCUUCCUCUACCGCUAUGUAGAGUCAUUUGGAUGAUUAUUGAAGUUAAUAUCACUAUAUUUGCUUUUCUAUUUAUGAUUCGAUGAAUAAAUGGAUUGUAAUAAAAGAAUUAUAAUAAAUAUUUAUGAAUGAUGAAUAAAAUGAUGUUUAUCUAUUUAGUCAUUAAAAGAUUUAAAAGAAAUAAAAAAAAUUCAAGUGACAUUUGCAGUCGUGAAAUUUUUAACACAAUUCAAUCAACAAAUUCAUUUGAUGAUGCUGGCACAAUUUAGCUAUGGAUCAUCAUUCAUGUUGCUAACCGAGUAUAA